UACGUAGGUGGCAAGCGUUGUCCGGAAUUACUGGGCGUAAAGGGUGCGUAGGCGGAAGUUUAAGUAGAAAGUGAAAGGUUGGAGCUCAACUCCAACAUUGCUUCCUAUACUGGACAUCUUGAGUUUCGGAGAGGAAGAUGGAACGACACGUGUAGCGGUGAAAUGCGUUGAUAUGUGUCGGAACACCAAUAGCGAAGGCAAUCUUCUGGACGAACACUGACGCUGAGGCACGAAAGCAUGGGGAGCAAACAGG
rnacentral:rRNA from 1 species